GUUAUAUUGAGGAUGUGGAACACUCUAACCAAACAGAGGUUUUAGCAAAUGAAUCAGAUGGGAAUGAAUCAGAUGGAGCAACGGAAGUCCAGAAUGAAAUGGAGGAAGACCAACACGAAGAAGAUGAUGCUGGACAAGAACAGGAUGAUCUAACAGUUACAUGGAAUACAACAGUAACAAAGGCCAUUUCUAAUCUUUCAAAGAAACAAGUGCUGCACUUCCCAAAUCCUAUUUCAAGGGGAGUGCUAGCCAAUACCAACCAGAUUCAGCUAAUAGCAGAAGACAGUGAUUUUGAAAUUCCAUGC